rnacentral:rRNA from 1 species
GACGAACGCUGGCAGCGUGCUUAAUACAUGCAAGUCGAACGAGUGGCGUACGUGUGAUUACUGUCUGGACAACUUCCCGAUGGAUGUGUAUAACUACUGGAAACGGUAGCUGAAUCUUCCUACCAUCGGCUGUACCCGUAUGGGAUGAGCUGGUAGGUAGGGUAACGGCUCACCUAGGCGACGAUCCAUAGCUGGUCUGAGAGGAUGACCAGCCACACUGGAACUGAGACACGGUCCAGACUCCUACGGGAGGCAGCAGUGGGGAAUAUUGGACAAUGGGCGCAAGCCUGAUGCAGCCAUGCCGCGUGUAUGAAGAAGGCCUUCGGGUUGUAAAGUACUUUUAGCGAGGAGGCGUUACUCGAAGAAGAAGCACCGGCUAACUCCGUGCCAGCAGCCGCGGUAAUAC